GAUGAACGCUGGCGGCGUGCUUAACACAUGCAAGUCGAACGGAAAGGCCCAAGCUUGCUUGGGUACUCGAGUGGCGAACGGGUGAGUAACACGUGGGUGAUCUGCCCUGCACUUCGGGAUAAGCCUGGGAAACUGGGUCUACUACCGGAUAGGACCACAUUUUGGAUGGUGUGGUGGAAAGUUUUUCGGUGUGGGAUGAGCUCGCGGCCUAUCAGCUUGUUGGUGGGGUAAUGGCCUACCAAGGCGUCGACGGGUAGCCGGCCUGAGAGGGUGUACGGCCACAUUGGGACUGAGAGACGGCCCAGACUCCUACGGGAGGCAGCAGGGGGGAAUAUUGCACAAUGGGCGCAAGCCUGAUGCAGCGACGCCGCGGGGGGGAUGACGGCCUUCGGGUUGUAAACUCCUUUCGCUAGGGACGAAGCGUUAUGUGACGGUACCUGGAGAAGAAGCACCGGCUAACUACGUG
rnacentral:rRNA from 1 species